rnacentral:rRNA from 1 species
CAUGGAGGGUGAGAAUCCCGUCUUUGACACGGACUACCGGUGCUUUGUGAUGCGCUCUCAAAGAGUCGCGUUGUUUGGGAAUGCAGCGCAAAAUGGGUGGUAUAUUCCAUCUAAAGCUAAAUAUUGGCGAGAGACCGAUAGCGAACAAGUACCGUGAGGGAAAGAUGAAAGGCACUUUGGAAAGAGAGUUAAACAGUACGUGAGAUUGUUGAAAGGGAAACGCUUAAAGUCAGUCGUGCCGGCGUUGGAUUCAGCUUGCUUCGCGGAGCAGGCGUAUUUCCGCGCAUGGCAGGUCAGCGUCAGUUUUGUGCGGCGUGAAAAGGCUCGGGUAAGGUAGCUCUCUUCGGGGAGUGUUAUAGACCUGGGCAGAUGCGCUGCGCGGGACUGAGGAUUGCAGCGGACACCUCCUCGGGGGCGCGGCGACCGAACCCUGCUCGGCCACCCUCGUUCGAUAGCGUGCUAGCGGACGCGGGAGCGGCAGUGCACCGGAACAGGCAAGCCAGCGGUUCGUUAAGGAUGUUGACGUAAUGG